rnacentral:rRNA from 1 species
CCUACGGGAGGCAGCAGUAGGGAAUUUUCGUCAAUGGGCGCAAGCCUGAACGAGCAAUGCCGCGUGAACGAGGAAGGUCUUCGGAUCGUAAAGUUCUGUUGAAGGGGAAAAAGAGCGGAGAGAGGAAAUGGUCUCCGAUUGAUAUUACCCUUCGAGGAAGUCACGGCUAACUACGUGCCAGCAGCCGCGGUAAUACGUAGGUGGCGAGGGUUAUCCGGAAUGAUUGGGCGUAAAGGGUGCGUAGGCGGCCUGCUAAGUCUGGAGUGAAAGGUACCGGCUCAACCGGUACAGGCUCUGGAAACUGGCGGGCUAGAGAGCAGGAGAGGGCGGUGGAACUCCAUGUGUAGCGGUAAAAUGCGUAGAUAUAUGGAAGAACACCAGUGGCGAAGGCGGCCGCCUGGCCUGUGACUGACGCUGAGGCACGAAAGCGUGGGGAGCAAAUAGGAUUAGAUACCCGAGUAGUC